rnacentral:rRNA from 1 species
AUGCGCCGGCAGGCCAUUCGUUUUGCCACCGCCAGGCAAGAACCGUACACCAUGAGCCAUGACAAUGGAUUCCGGGAGGCGGCGACGGACGACGAUGAUGGCUGCAGCGAGCAGGAGUCCUUCUUUCAAUGCCUCGAUCGCGUGAAGCCCCCCGGCGAUGGCGACCCAGUCUUCCCCUCCGACGACGGUGAGGAGGAUGGCCUCAGCGACGCUGCCCGUGUCUCCUUUGCCACCGCCGUGGAUGACCGGCUCCAGGAGGAGCAGGCGGUGCUGGACGAGGAUGAGGACUACGAGGAGGAGGACUUGUCGACGUACGACUACGACAUGUGGAUGGAGGCGGACGAGCCCGUGCCCAUCAAGGAGCGUCGCCGCCGACUGCUCCACGGGAUGGGCCUCAACAGCAGCAGAGACAUCCUCCGAAGCCGCAUCGCCAGGACGAGGAAUAUUUCCAGGCGUCCGCCGCGGCGGGCGUUCGCGCCGUCUGCGUCUUCCACGCCACCCGAGAUCAUGAAACGGCAGCCCAUCUCCUUCCUUAAACGUUGCCGGUCGGAUAGCCGCCUCGCCGUCCGAGGCGCCGCCGCGAGAAAGCUGACGGCAUUACGCCGCGUGCACUCGGCACCGCACUCUCUGCAAGGUUCGCCCGUGCACAGGGCUCUCCGACCAGCCGCUCGUUGUCCGUUGCCAUCAGCGGCGUCCAAGGACGAAGGCGGAGGAGAGAAUAGAAACUGCAACCUUGAUGACGGCAAAGUGUUCGUCGUUAACGGCACCCAGUCCACGGACGGCGCGCGCGGCGCGGCCAACGACGCCCACGGCUACGCCGGGUACACCCCGCUGGUGAAACAGAUCAUGCGGCGAAGCCAGAGCCAGACUGUGAAGGCGGGGGCGGGGAACAAGGACGGCGGGAUGCCGACGAUUAAGAAACCACGGUGGCUGAAGAACAUGAAGCUCGUCGCCACAGUCGCCGCCCUCAUCCACGAGAAAGACAGGGACAGGGACAGGGACAGGUCGUCCGCGCUUCCGUCCGCGAUGACCAUGUCCAAGUCCAAGUCGGCGUCGGCGGCGGCGGCGGCGGACAGCGCCUCAACGUCGUCGUCGUCCACCGAGCGGCUCAAGGUGCACCACUCCGGCAAGUCGAGCAAGGACCUGACGGGGCUGUACAUGCGGCAGGAGGUCCGCGCGCACGAGGGGUCGAUAUGGAGCAUCAAGUUCAGCGCCGACGCCCAGUUCCUCGCAAGCGGCGGGGAGGACCGCGUGGUGCUUGUCUGGCAGGUCGUGCACACCGACGCCUCCUCCUCUAUCCUGACGCCGGAUCUCUCGACCGGCAAGCUUCUUCCCCCGCUGGCUCCCGCCGACGGCGGGUCCUUGGCGGGGGCACCGGGGCUGGCAGCGCAGCUGUCGAGAAAGGUCCUGCGCGGGAAGAGCAGCAAGCACGUGCUCCCGGAGCACGUGGUGCUGCCGGAGACCGUGUUCGCGCUCGCCGAGCAGCCGGUGUGCGUCUUCGAGGGCCACGAGGACGACGUGCUGGACCUGUCGUGGUCCAAGCAGUCGUCGAGGUUGCUGUCGUCGUCCAUGGACAAGACGGUGCGGCUGUGGGACGUGGAGAGCAAGGCGUGCCUGCAGGUGUUCGCGCACAGCGACUACGUGACGUGCAUCCAGUUCAACCCGGCGGACGAAGGCUACUUCAUCAGCGGCUCGCUGGACUGCAGGGUGCGCGUCUGGAGCGUGGCGGAGCGACAAGUCGUCGAUUGGAGCGACCUCAACGACAUGGUCACCGCCGCCAGCUACACCCCCGACGGCCAGGCUGCGAUCGUUGGAUCGCACAAGGGGUGCUGCCGGUUCUACAAGACAAGAGAUUGCAAGCUGAACCAGGAGGCUCAGAUCGACAUGAGCAUAUCCAAGAAGCGCAAGUCACAGGCGAAGAAGAUCACCGGAUUCCAGUUUGCGCCGGGGAACCCGUCGGAGAUCCUGGUGACGUCGGCGGACUCGCAGAUCCGGGUGUUCAACGGCAUCACCGUCCUCCAGAAGUUCAAAGGGUUCAAGAACACCAGCAGCCAGCUCUCGGCGUCCUACUCCGGCGACGGCCGCUACGUGGUCUGCGCCAGCGAGGACUCGCACGUGUACGUCUGGAGGCGCGCCGCCGGCGGCAUGGGCUCCGCUGCAGGGGGAAGUAUCGGCGUCAAGGCCAAGACGUGGCUCACCAGCCGCUCCUACGAGUACUUCUUCUGCAGGGACGUGUCCGCCGCGGUGCCGUGGCCCGGAUCCCCCCCGUCGCCGUUCCCGCGCGCGGGAGACGAGCGCGCAUCGUCGAGCGUCCAUGGCGGCGCUGGCAGGAGAGCGGACAACGACGCGUUCGGCGACGGCGUGCAGCUGCCACCACGUCCCAAGUCCGGGCCGCUUACGUUCCCCGGCUCGCAGGCGGAGAUGCUGCGCAUGGGGCCGUCGUCGCGGGAGGCCGGCUGCAACGCGUGGGGGAUGGUGGUGGUCACGGCGGGCCUGGGCGGGGAGAUGAGGGUGUACCAGAACUUUGGGAUGCCAGAGGGGAUCAAAGGGCAGAAGUGA